GAUGAACGCUGGCGGCGUGCCUAAUACAUGCAAGUCGAGCGAACAGACGUGGCGCUUGCUCCUCUGACGUUAGCGGCGGACGGGUGGGUAACACGUUGCUAACCUCCCUAUAAGACUGGGAUAACUUCGGGAAACCUGAGCUAAUACCCGAUAAUAUAUUGAGCCGCAUGUUUCAAUAUUUAUAGACGGUUUUUCUGUCACUUAUAUAUGGAUCCGCGCCGCAUUAGCUAGUUGGUAAGGUAACGGCUUACCAAGGCAACGAUGCGUAGCCGACGUGAGAGGGGGAUCGGCGACCUGGGAAGUGGACCACGGUCCAGACUCCUAAGGGAGGCAGCAGAAGGGAACCUUAGGCAGUGGGCGAAAGCCUGACGGAGCAAUGCCGAGUGAGUGAUAAAGGUCUUCGGAUCGUAAAGCUCUGUUAUUAGGGAAGAACAAAUGUGAAAGUAAAUAUGCACGUAUUGACGGUACCUAAACAGAAAGCCACGGCUAACUACGUG
rnacentral:rRNA from 1 species